rnacentral:rRNA from 1 species
UACGUAGGGUGCAAGCGUUAAUCGGAAUUACUGGGCGUAAAGCGUGCGCAGGCGGUGAUGUAAGACAGGUGUGAAAUCCCCGGGCUUAACCUGGGAACUGCAUUUGUGACUGCAUCGCUGGAGUGCGGCAGAGGGGGAUGGAAUUCCGCGUGUAGCAGUGAAAUGCGUAGAUAUGCGGAGGAACACCGAUGGCGAAGGCAAUCCCCUGGGCCUGUACUGACGCUCAUGCACGAAAGCGUGGGGAGCAAACAGG